rnacentral:rRNA from 1 species
ACGGAAGGCAGCAGCUAAGAAUAUUCCGCAAUGGACGAAAGUCUGACGGAGCGACGCCGCGUGGAUGAUGAAGGCCGGAAGGUUGUAAAAUCCUUUUGGACGUGAGGAAUAAGGAGAGUGAGAGAAACGCUUUCUGGUGACUGUAGCGUCAGAAUAAGCAACGGCUAAUUACGUGCCAGCAGCCGCGGUAACACGUAAGUUGCGAGCGUUGUUCGGAAUUAUUGGGCGUAAAAGGCAUGUAGGCGGUUUUGCAAGCUUGGUGUGAAAGGCAGGAGCUUAACUCCUGGACUGCGUUGAGAACUGCAAGACUAGAGUCACUGAGGGGCAAUCAGAAUUCCUGGUGUAGGGGUGAAAUCUGUAGGUAUCAGGAAGAAUACCAAUGGCGAAGGCAGGUUACCAGCAGAUGACUGACGCUGAGGUGCGAAGGUGCGGGGAGCAAACAGGAUUAGAUACCCUGGUA